ACAUUUGGUUGUGUGUGUGGCAGGGUGGAGAUCAGGAUUUCUGGAGCUGCUUAGCUGAGAGGUUUUGGUUAAGGGUCUCCCAGGAGGUUGCCAUGAAGGUGCAGGCUGGGGUCACAGGCACUGGAAGGCAUGGCUGGAGCAAGCAGACCAUUUCCAAGUGGCUCACUCUCAUAGCUGCCAAGUUGGUGAUUGCUGUUUGUAGAUACAUCCAGUUCCUUCCACAUCAACCCUGCCAUAGGCUGCUUGAGUAGUCUCAUGACAUGGCAGCUGGCUCACCCCAGAAUAAGGAAAUGACUUACUGCAAAGAACCACUCUUCCCCACGAGACUUCGAGAAGACCCGCUGUCACGGACUGAGUUGUGUCCUCUUAAAAUUCAGAUGUUGGAGUCCAAACCCCCAGUAACUCAGAGUGUGAACGUAUUUGAAGAGGUCUUUAAAGAGGUGAUGAAGGUCUUUGUCUCUGACAAUUUGCCUCUGUGACGUGGAUGGGACUGGAAGUCCAUUUGGAGCCCUGUCUUCUCCACCUAGGGAGAGAGACCCCAUGAGCUCGUCAAGCUCCUUCUGUGACUGAUCAGAGAUCCCACCGUGAGUCCAGCUCCUGGUCCCAUGCUCUGGAUAUAUCGGUCCCUGGCAGCGUGGCUCCAUCUCCGUAGCCUGCUUUUGACAAAAGUGGAUACAUAAAUCUAGGGGCCACCUAGCUAGUUCUAAUAAGACUUUGGAAGUCAAAAGCUAAAGAAGACCAGGGGACCAAGCUGGAAAUCAGGCUCUGCAAUCAGAUUCCAGAGGGAAUGCCAUUCCACCCAAUCACCUAGCCACAACGGUUCCCUUCCUUCAAGAUGCUGCAUGCCUCUUCAGGCGAAUGGAUUACCUUGUAAGAGUGACCUGAAAAAGCGUUAGCCCAGCCACACCGAGGCUUAACUGAGCCAUUUGAUUCUCACUGCCUCUCUCUGUUGCUUCCUCUUGCUUUCAACUACAGGGUCUUUCUGUUUAGGUGGUGAAAAAAAUGAUCGUUAAAAACAAUAAACCUGGGGACCUCUGAUACCAUGAGCCCAGCCAGAGAUCUGUGUCAAGCAAAUCCUUGCAGACAGUUCUGCCAGCCUGCAGAUGGCUGUUUGCCUCUCGUGGAUUUGAUAAGUGCUCAUUUAUGCCCAGAGGCCUCUGGGAGAUAGUGCUCAUGCUGAGCUUACAAACUGAAAACCAUUAUCUGUUCCUUACCUGAGACCCUGGGGAGCAGUCAGCUCACUCCCUGCCGAUGGCCUAAGAUAGGUACUGAUGUUACAGUUGAGGAAUAUCUAGGAGUAACAAACUUAAGUAGCUGGAAUAUGCCAAUUUUGACAAUUUGACAACAUCAUUAUAAACAUUCUGAAG
rnacentral:lncRNA from 1 species